GACGAACGCUGGCGGCGUGCUUAACACAUGCAAGUCGAACGGAAAGGCCCUGCUUUUGUGGGGUGCUCGAGUGGCGAACGGGUGAGUAACACGUGAGUCACCUUCCCUUUACUUUGGGAUAACUUCAGGAAACUGGGGCUAAUACCUGAUAGGAGCUCCUGCUGCAUGGUGGGGUUUGGAAAGUUUCGGCGGUUGGGGAUGGACUCGCGGCUUAUCAGCUUGUUGGUGGGGUAGUGGCUUACCAAGGCUUUGACGGGUAGCCGGCCUGAGAGGGUGACCGGCCACAUUGGGACUGAGAUACGGACCAGACUCCUACGGGAGGCAGCAGUGGGGAAUAUUGCACAAUGGGCGGAAGCCUGAUGCAGCAACGCCGCGUGCGGGAUGAAGGCCUUCGGGUUGUAAACCGCUUUAGCCUGUGACGAAGCGUGAGUGACGGUAAUGGGUAAAGAAGCACCGGCUAACUACGUG
rnacentral:rRNA from 1 species